rnacentral:rRNA from 1 species
AUUGAACGCUGGCGGCAGGCCUAACACAUGCAAGUCGAGCGGAAACGAAGGGAGCUUGCUCCCAGGCGUCGAGCGGCGGACGGGUGAGUAACACGUGAGAAUCUGCCCAUUAGUGGGGGACAACUCGGGGAAACUCGAGCUAAUACCGCAGAAUCACUACGGGGGAAAGCAGGGGACCUUUUGGCCUUGCGCUGGUGGAUGAGGUCACGUCGGAUUAGCUUGUUGGUGAGGUAAAGGCUCACCAAGGCGACGAUCCGUAGCUGGUCUGAGAGGAUGAUCAGCCACACUGGGACUGAGACACGGCCCAGACUCCUACGGGAGGCAGCAGUGGGGAAUCUUGGACAAUGGGGGCAACCCUGAUCCAGCCAUGCCGCGUGUGUGAAGAAGGCCUUCGGGUUGUAAAGCACUUUCAGCAGGGAGGAAGGCUUUGGCCGAAUAGGUUGAAGUACUUGACGUUACCUGCAGAAGAAGCACCGGCUAAUUUCGUGCCAGCAGCCGCCGUAA